AUGCACAAACUAUGGACAACUACUCAACAACAAUUUGAUACCCGCAAAAACAACUUCACACCAACUAAUUCUCAUUUUCACCAACAACAACUUCAGAACAAACACUGGAAGUUUAAGACCAGUAACAACCUUGCUUCACCUCCCUCAGUCCACAUCUCUACACAACUGUUAACCCACACUGGUAAAGCUAUAACAACAACCUCUUCCAUGAAACACACUUCAACAACCAUUUCCUCAAUCAUCUCAGCUUCUUCAACGACAAUAAUAUACACCAUUUUGCCACUAUCGACAACAAUCUUGAUGUAA